UACGUAGGGGGCAAGCGUUGUCCGGAUUUAUUGGGCGUAAAGAGCGUGUAGGCGGCCAGGUAGGUCCGUUGUGAAAACUGGAGGCUUAACCUCCAGCUGUCGAUGGAAACCAUCUGGCUAGAGUCCGGAAGAGGAGAGUGGAAUUCCUGGUGUAGCGGUGAAAUGCGCAGAUAUCAGGAAGAACACCUAUGGCGAAGGCAGCUCUCUGGGACGGUACUGACGCUGAGACGCGAAAGCGUGGGGAGCGAACAGG
rnacentral:rRNA from 1 species